rnacentral:rRNA from 1 species
AGUGGGCUGCAAAAGAAGUAGGUAGUUUAACCUUCGGGGGGACGCUUACCACUUUGUGGUUCAUGACUGGGGUGAAGUCGUAACAAGGUAGCGCUAGGGGAACCUGGCGCUGGAUCACCUCCUUA